rnacentral:rRNA from 1 species
UACGUAGGGGGCUAGCGUUGUCCGGAUUUAUUGGGCGUAAAGAGCUCGUAGGCGGUUUGUCGCGUCUGCUGUGAAAACUGGAGGCUCAACCUCCAGCCUGCAGUGGGUACGGGCAGACUAGAGUGCGGUAGGGGAGACUGGAAUUCCGUGGUGUAGCGGUGAGAUGCGCAGAUAUCAGGAGGAACACCGGUGGCGAAGGCGGGUCUCUGGGCCGAUACUG